AGAGUUCGAUUAUGGCUCAGGAUGAACGCUGGCGGCGUGCUUAACACAUGCAAGUCGAACGGAGUGCUCAUGACGGAGUUUUCGGACAACUGAUUGAGUUACUUAGUGGCGGACGGGUGAGUAACGCGUGAGUAACCUGCCUUGGAGUGGGGAAUAACAGUCGGAAACGACUGCUAAUACCGCAUGAUGCAAAUGCCUCGCAUGGGGCUGUUUGCCAAAGAUUUAUCGCUCUGAGAUGGACUCGCGUCUGAUUAGCUAGUUGGUGAGGUAACGGCUCACCAAGGCGACGAUCAGUAGCCGGACUGAGAGGUUGGCCGGCCACAUUGGGACUGAGACACGGCCCAG
rnacentral:rRNA from 1 species